GAUGAACGCUGGCGGCGUGCCUAAUACAUGCAAGUCGAGCGAACAGACGAGGAGCUUGCUCCUCUGACGUUAGCGGCGGACGGGUGAGUAACACGUGGAUAACCUUCCUAUAAGACUGGGAUAACUUCGGGAAACCGGAGCUAAUACCGGAUAAUAUAUUGAACCGCAUGGUUCAACAGUGAAAGACGGUUUUGCUGUCACUUAUAGAUGGAUCCGCGCCGCAUUAGCUAGUUGGUAAGGUAACGGCUUACCAAGGCAACGAUGCGUAGCCGACCUGAGAGGGUGAUAGGCCACACUGGAACUGGGACACGGUCCAGACGCCUACGGGAGGGAGCAGUAGGGAAUCUUACGCAAUGGGCGAAAGCCUGACGGAGCAACGCCGCGUGAGUGAUGAAGGUCUUCGGAUCGGAAAACUCUGUUAUUAGGGAAGAACAAAUGUGGAAGUAACUAUGCACGUCUUGACGGUACCUAAUCAGAAAGCCACGGCUAACUACGUG
rnacentral:rRNA from 1 species